rnacentral:ncRNA from 1 species
CAUUUAUCAGACCAAAAACCGGCCGCGUCUUCGGGCGCGUUCGCCUUGGUGACUCUGGAUAACUUUGCGGAUCGCACGGUCUAGCACCGGCGACGGAUCAUUCAAGUGUCUGCCCUAUCAACUUUCGUCGGUACGGUAUUUGCCUACCGAGGUUCUUACGGGUGACGGGGAAUCAGGGUUCGAUUCCGGAGAGGGAGCCUGAGAAACGGCUACCACAUCCAAGGAAGGCAGCAGGCGCGCAAAUUACCCAUUCCCGACGCGGGGAGGUAGUGACGAAAAAUAACAAUGCAGGACUCGUUCGAGGCCCUGUAAUUGGAAUGAGUACACUUUAAAAGCUUUAACGAGUAUCCAUUGGAGGGCAAGUCUGGUGCCAGCAGCCGCGGUAAUUCCAGCUCCAAAAGUAUAUAUUUAAGUUGUUGCGGUUAAAAAGCUCGUAGUUGGAUUUUGGGCGCAGGCGGCCGGUCCGUCGCAAGGCGUGUACUGGACGUCCUGGCCUUCCCUCCGGUUCUCCGCCGGUGCUCUUGACUGAGUGUCGGCGGCGACCGGAACGUUUACUUUGAAAAAAUUAGAGUGUUCAAAGCAGGCUCUCGAGCCUGGAUAAUGGUGCAUGGAAUAAUGGAAUAGGACCUCGGUUCUAUUUUGUUGGUUUUCGGAGCGCGAGGUAAUGAUUAAGAGGGACAGACGGGGGCAUUCGUACUGUGCCGUUAGAGGUGAAAUUCUUGGAUCGGCGCAAGACGAACGACUGCGAAAGCAUUUGCCAAGAAUGUUUCUUUAAUCAAGAGCGAAAGUCAGAGGU